CAGUAGCCGCGGUAAUACAGAGGAUUUAAGCGUUAUCCGGAAUGAUUGGGCGUAAAGCGUCUGUAGGUGGCUUUUCGAGUCCGUCGUCAAAUCCCAGGGCUCAACCCUGGACAGGCGGUGGAAACUACCAAGUUGGAGUACGGUAGGGGCAGAGGGAAUUUCCGGUGGAGCGGUGAAAUGCGUUAAGAUCGGAAGGAACACCAACGGCGAAAGCACUCUGCUGGGCCGACGUUGACACUGAGAGACGAACGCUAGGGGAGAAAAUGGGAUUAGAUACCCGCGUAGUCCCUGUCUCUUAUAC
rnacentral:rRNA from 1 species